rnacentral:rRNA from 1 species
AUUGAACGCUGGCGGCAUGCCUUACACAUGCAAGUCGAACGGCAGCACGGGUGCUUGCACCUGGUGGCGAGUGGCGAACGGGUGAGUAAUACAUCGGAACAUGUCCUGUAGUGGGGGAUAGCCCGGCGAAAGCCGGAUUAAUACCGCAUACGAUCUACGGAUGAAAGCGGGGGACCUUGGGGCCUCGCGCUAUAGGGUUGGCAGAUGGCUGAUUAGCUAGUUGGUGGGGUAAAGGCCUACCAAGGCGACGAUCAGUAGCUGGUCUGAGAGGACGACCAGCCACACUGGGACUGAGACACGGCCCAGACUCCUACGGUAGGCAGCAGUGGGGAAUUUUGGACAAUGGGCGAGAGCCUGAUCCAGCAAUGCCGCGUGUGUGAAGAAGGCCUUCGGGUUGUAAAGCACUUUUGUCCGGAAAGAAAUCCUUGGCCCUAAUACGGUCGGGGGAUGACGGUACCGGAAGAAUAAGCACCGGCUAACUACGUG